rnacentral:rRNA from 1 species
ACAUCCAAGGAAGGCAGCAGGCGCGUAAAUUACCCAAUCCUGACACAGGGAGGUAGUGACAAUAAAUAACAAUGCCGGGCCUUUGUAGGUCUGGCAAUUGGAAUGAGAACAAUUUAAACCCCUUAUCGAGUAUCAAUUGGAGGGCAAGUCUGGUGCCAGCAGCCGCGGUAAUUCCAGCUCCAAUAGCGUAUAUUAAAGUUGUUGCAGUUAAAAAGCUCGUAGUUGGAUUUGUGGCUGUCUCGAGCGGCCUAGCACCUAGUGUUAGUGCCUGCUUGGGUCGCCAUCCUUGGGUGGAGCCUGUGUGGCAUUAGGUUGUCGUGCAGGGGAUGCCCAUCGUUUACUGUGAGAAAAUUAGAGUGUUCAAAGCAGGCUUAUGCCGUUGAAUAUGUUAGCAUGGAAUAAUAAGAUAGGACCUCGGUACUAUUUUGUUGGUUUGCGCACGAGGUAAUGAUUAAUAGGGACAGUUGGGGGUAUUCGUAUUCCAUUGUCAGAGGUGAAAUUCU